CUGCCUGGGAGCAGGGGCCAAAGCGUGUCCUGAAAUGGCUCCUCUUCCUCUCCAGGGGGACAGUCCUGACUGCGUGGGGGAGCCCGGGCACCCUGGGAGCCCCGGUCUGCCUGGACAGAGGGGAGAUCAGGGACCGCCUGGCGUGAGGGGAUCCCCGGGACCACCUGGACCCAUUGGUCUCCAAGGUGAGCGUGGACCGGGUGGGCUCCCUGGUGCGAAAGGGGAACCGGGCCCCCCUGGUCAGCCCGGCUAUCCCGGUGCAACAGGACCCCCAGGCCUGCAUGGCAUCAAAGGUGAGCGAGGCCACAUGGGAUCCCCGGGAGAGAAA
rnacentral:lncRNA from 1 species